AGAGUUUGAUCCUGGCUCAGAUUGAACGCUGGCGGCAGGCUUAACACAUGCAAGUCGAGCGGAAACGAUCCCUUCGGGGAGGCGUCGAGCGGCGAACGGGUGAGUAACGCGUAGGAAUCUGCCUGAUAGAGGGGGAUAGCCCGGGGAAACUCGGAUUAAUACCGCAUACGCCCUACGGGGGAAAGCAGGGGAUCUUCGGACCUUGCGCUAUCAGAUGAGCCUGCGUCGGAUUAGCUAGUUGGUAGGGUAAAGGCCUACCAAGGCGACGAUCCGUAGCUGGUCUGAGAGGAUGAUCAGCCACACUGGAACUGAGACACGGUCCAGACUCCUACGGGAGGCAGCAGUGGGGAAUAUUGGACAAUGGGGGAAACCCUGAUCCAGCCAUGCCGCGUGUGUGAAGAAGGCCUUCGGGUUGUAAAGCACUUUAAGCAGGGAGGAAAGGGUACUGGCUAAUAUCCAGUAUCAUUGACGUUACCUGCAGAAUAAGCACCGGCUAACUUCGUGCCAGCAGCCGCGGUAAUACGAAGGGUGCAAGCGUUAAUCGGAAUUACUGGGCGUAAAGCGCGCGUAGGCGGUUUGAUAAGUUGGAUGUGAAAGCCCCGGGCUCAACCUGGGAAUUGCAUCCAAGACUGUCAGGCUAGAGUACGGGAGAGGGGGGUAGAAUUCCACGUGUAGCGGUGAAAUGCGUAGAGAUGUGGAGGAAUACCGGUGGCGAAGCGGCCCCCUGGAUCGAUACUGACGCUGAGGUGCGAAAGCGUGGGGAGCAACAGGAUUAGAUACCCUGGUAGUCCACGCCGUAAACGAUGUCAACUAGCCGUUGGAAGGGUAAUCCUUGAGUGGCGCAGCUAACGCACUAAGUUGACCGCCUGGGGAGUACGGUCGCAAGAUUAAAACUCAAAUGAAUUGACGGGGGCCCGCACAAGCGGUGGAGCAUGUGGUUUAAUUCGACGCAACGCGAAGAACCUUACCUGGUCUUGACAUCCAGCGAAUCCUGCAGAGAUGCGGGAGUGCCUUCGGGAGCGCUGAGACAGGUGCUGCAUGGCUGUCGUCAGCUCGUGUCGUGAGAUGUUGGGUUAAGUCCCGUAACGAGCGCAACCCUUGUCCUUAUUUGCCAUCAUUUAGUUGGGCACUCUAAGGAGACUGCCGGUGACAAACCGGAGGAAGGUGGGGACGACGUCAAGUCAUCAUGGCCCUUACGACCAGGGCUACACACGUGCUACAAUGGGCGGUACAAAGGGUUGCAAUACCGCGAGGUGGAGCUAAUCCCAUAAAACCGUUCGUAGUCCGGAUUGGAGUCUGCAACUCGACUCCAUGAAGUCGGAAUCGCUAGUAAUCGUAAAUCAGCAUGUUACGGUGAAUACGUUCCCGGGCCUUGUACACACCGCCCGUCACACCAUGGGAGUGGGUUGCAAAAGAAGUGGGUAGUCUAACUUCGGAGGACGCUCACCACUUUGUGAUUCAUGACUGGGGUGAAGUCGUAACAAGGUAACC
rnacentral:rRNA from 1 species